rnacentral:rRNA from 1 species
CAGUAGUCAUAUGCUUGUCUCAAAGAUUAAGCCAUGCAUGUCUCAGUACAAGCCAUAUUAAGGUGAAACCGCGAAAGGCUCAUUAAAUCAGUUAUGGUUCCUUAGAUCGUACCCACAUUUACUUGGAUAACUGUGGUAAUUCUAGAGCUAAUACAUGCAAACAGAGCUCCGACCGGAGACGGAAGGAGUGCUUUUAUUAGAUCAAAACCAAUCGGCGGCAAUUGGGUUUACUUAAUUGUUCGUCGCACUUUUUGGUGACUCUGAAUAACUUUUGGCUGAUCGCACGGUCUCGCACCGGCGACGCAUCUUUCAAAUGUCUGCCUUAUCAACUGUCGAUGGUAGGUUCUGCGCCUACCAUGGUUGUAACGGGUAACGGGGAAUUAGGGUUCGAUUCCGGAGAGGGAGCCUGAGAAACGGCUACCACAUCCAAGGAAGGCAGCAGGCGCGCAAAUUACCCACUCCCGGCACGGGGAGGUAGUGACGAAAAAUAACGAUACGGGACUCAUCCGAGGCCCCGUAAUCGGAAUGAGUACACUUUAAAUCCUUUAACAAGGACCAAUUGGAGGGUAAGUCUGGUGCCAGCAGCCGCGGUAAUUCCAGCUCCAAUAGCGUAUA